rnacentral:piRNA from 1 species
UGUAUUGAUUCGCCUUACACUGUGUGGUUGA